rnacentral:rRNA from 1 species
AUUGAACGCUGGCGGCAUGCCUUACACAUGCAAGUCGAACGGUAACGGGCCUUCGGGUGCCGACGAGUGGCUAACGGGUGCGUAAUACAUCGGAACGUGCCCGAUCGUGGGGGAUAACGAGGCGAAAGCUUUGCUAAUACCGCAUACGAUCUACGGAUGAACGCAGGGGACCGCAAGGCCUUGCGCGGACGGAGCGGCCGAUGGCAGAUUAGGUAGUUGGUGGGAUAAAAGCUUGCCAAGCCGACGAUCUGUAGCUGGUCGGAGAGGAUGAUCAGCCACACUGGGACUGAGACACGGCCAAGACGCCUACGGGAGGCAGCAGUGGGGAAUGUUGGACAAUGGGCGCAAGCCUGAUCCAGCCAUGCCGAGUGCAGGAUGAAGGCCUUCGGGUUGUAAACUGCUUUUGUACGGAACGAAAAGCCUUCUUUUAAUACAGGAGGGUCAUGACGGUACCGUAAGAAUAAGCACCGGCUAACUACGUG